UCAAAGCAUCCGUUUGGCUGAAUGAUCUAGCAUGGAAUAACAAGGGAUCGACCCUUUUGGUCUUCUUUUUGUCGGUUUUGAUUUCCCCAAGGGGCAAUCAAGGGCGGAGUAACCAUCUGGCCUCUUGUUGCGCUGGCUUCGGCCACGUGCUCAGGAACCAAAUGGUCUCCGUUCCGUCGGUAUUAAUAGGAGCAAGCGGGGUGGUACGUAUUGCUGCGUUAGUGGUGAAAUACUUAGACCGCAGCAGGACGAACAACAGCGAAGGCAUUCUGCAAGUUUGCUUUCAUUAAUCAAGAACGAGAGUGUGGGGUUCGAAGAUGAUCAGAUACCGUCGUAGUCCAUACCCGUAAACGAUGCCGAUUUGAAAUCAGCGGGGGUUCUACCUUAUGACCCCGUUGGCAUCGCCCCCUUUUAACGAGAAAUCCCAAAUUUUUGGGUUCAGGGGGGAGUACAUUCGCAAGGCUGAAACUUAAAGGAAUUGACGGAAUGACACCACAAGACGUGGAGUAUGCGGCUUAAUUUGACUCAACACGGGGAAACUCACCAGGUCAGGACGAAAUUAGGAUUGACAGAUUGAAGUUCUUUCUUGAUCUUUCGGAUGGUGGUGCAUGGCCGUUCUUGGUUGGUGAAGUGAUUUGUCUGCUUAAUUGCGUUAACGAACGAGAUCUCUGCCUCUUAAUAGGUGGCGGCGACGCCUCUAAGCAGCUAUGGGGUUGGUGAAGCCU
rnacentral:rRNA from 1 species